GGUCGGGAUGGAAUCGUUUUUAUUUUCUAGCUUCGAUUAAAAAAGAAGGACAAGGAAGUCAAUUUCUUUAAAUGAAGAUCAUCAGUCCAUCGAGGAGGGAGAAAAUAUAUGGCAACUUCUGAUUUGUUGAAUGAGUUGUCUAAAGACGGAUAUAAAGCGGAUCAUGAUCUAGAGUUGAAGAUUUCGAUGACCGUUCAAUAGAGAAA